rnacentral:rRNA from 1 species
AGUGAACGCUGGCGGUAGGCCUAACACAUGCAAGUCGAACGGCAGCACAGGAGAGCUUGCUCUCUGGGUGGCGAGUGGCGGACGGGUGGGGAAUACAUCGGAAUCUACUCUGUCGUGGGGGAUAACGUAGGGAAACUUACGCUAAUACCGCAUACGACCUACGGGUGAAAGCAGGGGACCUUCGGGCCUUGCGCGAUUGAAUGAGCCGAUGUCGGAUUAGCUAGUUGGCGGGGUAAAGGCCCACCAAGGCGACGAUCCGUAGCUGGGCUGAGAGGAUGAGCAGCCACACUGGAACUGAGACACGGUCCAGACUCCUACGGGAGGCAGCAGUGGGGAAUAUUGGACAAUGGGCGCAAGCCUGAUCCAGCCAUACCGCGUGGGUGAAGGAGGCCUUCGGGUUGUAAAGCCCUUUUGUUGGGAAAGAAAUCCAGCUGGCUAAUACCCGGUUGGGAUGACGGUACCCAAAGAAUAAGCACCGGCUAACUUCGUGCCAGCCGCCGCCGUAA